rnacentral:rRNA from 1 species
GCCAGACUCCUACGGGAGGCAGCAGUGGGGAAUAUUGGUCAAUGGGCUUACGCCUGAACCAGCCAAGUCGCGUGAGGGAAGACUGCCCUACGGGUUGUAAACCUCUUUUGUCGGGGAGCAAAGAGAGUCACGUGUGACUCAUUGAGAGUACCCGAAGAAAAAGCAUCGGCUAACUCCGUGCCAGCAGCCGCGGUAAUACGGAGGAUGCGAGCGUUAUCCGGAUUUAUUGGGUUUAAAGGGUGCGCAGGCGGAGGUGCAAGUCAGCGGUCAAAUUGCGGGGCUCAACCCCGUACUGCCGUUGAAACUGCAUCCCUUGAGUGCGCGAGAAGUAUGCGGAAUGCGCGGUGUAGCGGUGAAAUGCAUAGAUAUCGCGCAGAACUCCGAUUGCGAAGGCAGCAUGCCGGCGCCACACUGACGCUGAGGCACGAAAGCGUGGGUAUCGAACAGGAUUAGAUACCCGAGUAGA